AUAAAUCCCUAAUUAGACCAUCAUAAAGGACCAAAUCUAUAAUUUUGAUGAUUUAAAAGACUAAAUUCCUAAUUAGACCAACAUAAGAGGGCCAGAACUAUAGUUUUCACAAUUUAAAAGACUAAAUUCCUAAUUAGGCCAACAUAGAGGACCAAAAAGAAAAACAAAAACAAUAAGCUGUACGUAAAUCAUGCUCCGAGAUAUUUUCUUCUCUCUCUUCACUCUUUCAGUCUUUUCUAGUCAUCUCAAAUAACCUUUUUUCUCCUUUCAUCGACGAAUCUUCGAUUGUUGCAGAAAAUAAAAAUGUAUUUGAAGAAUCUUGAUCGAGAUUAAAGUUCGGUUUGUCGAAGAAUCGAAUCAUAUACUUGAUGGAGAAAGUAUACAGACUAGAAUAAAAACACACGAGCUGCGUUCGGCAUUGUAACUCUUGGCAUUUAUACGCUGAACAGGUACAAUAUUUACAUAGUUAUUCACGCGGUACAAAUUUUACAUAAUUAAUUUUAAAAUCUAUUCACACGAUUUUUGUCGAAUACGAUGUCCGUAACCGCAUUAUUUCCACAUUCUUUUCGAAUGUAUGUUUUCAGACAGCUCUCUACUGCAGUUGAAGCCUGUCGAAAAGAGUCAAAUUGACCGUUAUUUUAUAAGAUUAAAGCCAAAAAAAAAUUAAUUAAUUAAUUAAUUAAUAUUCUUCUCCGAUAAAUACGUAUAAAUAAAGAUACCUUACUUCAACACAAUGUAAUGUGGGGGGCUCUGUUUGCUUCACUAUUGCUCCCCAAACCAUAUAUCUGGAUCAGAACUCGAGUUUAGUGUAACUCGGAAAAAUCGGUUUUUUUUUUUUCUUCGGGUAUUAAUUUAGCAUGUCAGUUACCUUGUUGUGAAAUUUUGCAUUUGCUUGAUCGACGAGGUUUGCCUUCUUGUGUAGUUCUAUAUUAUCUCGAUGAACAAGGUUUCCCUGAAACGUAAAGAAACCGUGUUUAUCGAUUCCCACUUCAAGAUUCUUCAAUUAAAAAAAAACGCAAAAAUUAGAAUGUGCAUCGGUUUUCGAAAGAGGACCUUCCAAUUCAACUCGUUGAUUUCAUCCGUUAGAAGUUGUUCCUGUAAAUAAAAAAAAAAUAAAAAACCAAAAAAAGAAAAUUUACGAAAAAACCCUUUUGUAUAUAUAAAUUAAGCGAUAAUUAUGCUUAGAUAGAAUCGGCGCUUGCCUUUUUCAUACGUAUGCCUUUCGAACUAAUUUCGAGUUGAUUUUCUAGAUUAUGGAGAUUUUCGAUGCUCAAUCCAGAAAUUUGUUCUCCCAGAAGCUGCCUGCAGUUAUUAUGAGUGAAAUUACAUUCAAGAAUUUCGAGAAGCAUAAAAAAAAGUCGAGAAAUGGUUCACGAGUUGCGAGUUCCCACAGAGCAUUAGACGAAGCUCCAUGGUACUUUAUAUUUACAAGCAACGUUCAACUCCUUUAAUUAAGCAUACUUAAUCAAGAGUAGAUAAUAUUUUAAUUUUAUAUGAAUUAGUUACAUAACUAUACAUAGGAGACUCUUUGUAAAAUAUAUCAAAUCAUACACUUUUUUAUUUUACACCUAGGAAUAUUCUUUUGUAUCUU